rnacentral:lncRNA from 1 species
CCCCUCCAGUUCCCGUAAACCCACCUGUUCCAAUCUAUAAACCUCCACCAGUUCCAGUCUAUAAACCUCCUCCAGUUCCAGUAAAACCACUUCCUCCACCUGUUCCGAUCUACAAACCUCCACCAGUUGAAAAACCACAUCCUCCACCUGUUCCAAUCUACAAACCUCCACCAGUUGAAAAACCACAUCCUCCACCUGUUCCAAUCUACAAACCUCCACCAGUUGAAAAACCACAUCCUCCACCUGUUCCAGUUUAUAAACCUCCACCAGUUGAAAAACCACAUCCUCCACCUGUUCCAGUCUAUAAACCUCCACCAGUUCCAGUAUAUAAGAAACCAUGUCCUCCACCAGUUCCAGUCUAUAAAUCUCCUCCGGUUCCAGUAUACAAGAAACCGCAUCCUCCUCCAGUUCCAGU